UCCCUGGUGGCUCAGAGGUUAAAGCGUCUGCCUGCAAUGCGGGAGACCCGGGUUCAGUCCCUGGGUUGGGAA
rnacentral:tRNA from 1 species